UGCACAUAAUGGUUUAAGGAAACGUGACUUGUACACCUCCAUUACGAAUGAGGAGUUGGACAGAAUAUUGGUGGAAAUACACCACAGAUACCCUAAUGCUGGCUACAAGAUGAUCUUGGGACACUUAAGAUCCAGGCAACUUCGUGUACAAAAACUUCUACUCAGCUGCUUAGGAAAUACUGCAGCCGAACUCACAAGAGACCGAAGCUUGAGGAAGACCUAGUGCUGGAAAUGAUACGGCCAUAUUAGACUGUCUCCUCCUCCACAGAGAGUUCGCUCUCCACCUUCUCCUCAACGAUGCGCUC